rnacentral:rRNA from 1 species
AGUGAACGCUGGCGGUAGGCCUAACACAUGCAAGUCGAACGGCAGCACAGUAAGAGCUUGCUCUUACGGGUGGCGAGUGGCGGACGGGUGAGGAAUACAUCGGAAUCUACUUUUUCGUGGGGGAUAACGUAGGGAAACUUACGCUAAUACCGCAUACGACCUACGGGUGAAAGCAGGGGAUCUUCGGACCUUUCGCGAUUGAAUGAGCCGAUGUCGGAUUAGCUAGUUGGCGGGGUAAAGGCCCACCAAGGCGACGAUCCGUAGCUGGUCUGAGAGGAUGAUAGGCCACACUGGAAGGGAGACACGGUCAAGACUCCUACGGGAGGCAGCAGUGGGGAAUAUGGGACAAUGGGCGCAAGCCUGAUCCAGCCAUACCGAGUGGGUGAAGAAGGCCUUCGGGUUGUAAAGCCCUUUUGUUGGGAAAGAAAAGCAGCAGGUUAAUACCCCGCUGUUCUGACGGUACCCAAAGAAUAAGCACCGGCUAACUUCGUG